CACAGAUGGAUGGUGAAACCCAGAUGCAGGAACUUUACUGAAAUACAGUCUCAAUAAGGCUUCAGGAUGUGGAACUCCACAAAAACAUAUGGGCUAACACAAAGGGGAGUGUUGCACAGCUCUCAUGAAUUUGGGAAUCAGUGGUGUGCCCUAUCAAUAGUAAGGGGCCAGUAAGGACAUGACAAC